CAUUUUUUUCUUUUACUUUCUCUUUCUCUCCCGUUUUAUUUCUUCAUUCUCUCUCUCUUCUUCUGCUAAUCCUAGAUCUGUUGAAACCCAACGAAGUCUAUCAAAAACUCAGAAGCUAUUUCUCUGAAGACUAAUCUAUAGAUCAAAACCCAUCUUUCAGAGAUCAAACUAAAUCUUCACUAACACAAAAUUCGUUUGCAGCCCUAGAUAUGUGAUUUUCCCCUUCAUAAACUCUAGCAAAAUAAACUAUUUUCUCUAUUUUUACAUUUGAAAUUUAUCCAAUCCAAGGAGAUGAGUUUAUCAAGUACAGCCUUCUUAUAUGUCAUUUAUGAUCAAGAAGAACCCCGGUGAAAAGAUGAGAUAAAGCAGAUCCAUCACUAAUCGGAUCCGUAUGAAACUGAUAACUCUGUCAGCUUAUGUAUGUUUAUGCAUCAGCAUCUCCAGAGAUGGAAAUGAAGAUGGAAAUAAUUUUUUCUUGAGGAAGUGAUUAUUCCUUCAUAGUGAAGAUGGGGUAUACCACCAAAGGCAGUUGGUCUUUAGUCUUCACAGAUCCUCUAAAAUAAUGGGACAAUAUCCAACAUAUAGAAGAGCAAUUCUGACACUUCCAGAAAUUAAACACAAAGGGAAGAUUCAGUGGCUUAUAUAUUUAACUUGCUUAACCUGUGUACGUUGUACAUUAAAAUGAUCUAGUUGGCUAAGAUUCAGUGGCUUAUAUCUUUACCUUGUUAACCUGUGUAUAAUGUGCCGCACAUUAAAAUGAUCUAAUGGUGUCUAUGGUUCUGCAUACACAGGAAACAAAGAUGUAUGUAUUAUUGGUGAUGCACGUCCACCAAUGGGUGGAUUUUUUGGUAGCGUAUAAUCAACUGUCGGACACUAAGCUCGGAUCUGUAACUAUUAGGUGCGCUCUUAAAAGGGUGCAUGAUCUAACACUUAUGGAAAAGAUCUUCUUUGGUAGUGUUGUUAGUGCAAAUUCAGGCCAUGCUCCUGCUUCACAAGCACCAAAAGGUGCACUCUACUAACAAAGUUCGGGCAUGAAGAAGGCAAUAACCUUGAAGUAUGUCUUAUGUGCUGCAAGCUGUGCUUCCGAUGCUAAGGAUCUGGUGCUAUUCCUCGAAGUUUCACAGGACAACCUGGAGCUAUGCAAUUAAAUUUGAAAGUUGUGAACAAUAGGGAAACCUGCAUUUGGAAAAGUACCAUGGCUACUGCCUGUACCUGCAACAUCUACGACAACAACUAUGGCAAGCAUAUUCGUUGAUGCAGCAAUUACAGAUUGGCUCCGUAGUUACUUUGCACGUAAGAUGCGGCUUGGCACAACAUUUGAUGCUUUACAUUCUUACUGUGGGCUAAAUUUCCUAGGGACAUGUUGUGAUGACAAAAUAUCCUGAAUGAAUUGGAUCAAGAUAAAUGUGGCGUUAUGAAUGGCUCUGCAAUGGGUGGCAUGCAGGUGCACCAUUCGGAAGUGCGUGGCCUUAGUCCCUCAUCAGGCGAUUUAUCAUUUUGCUGGAUAGAACUUGUCUUUAGAAAUUUAGAAACCUUGUUCUUGUUGGGACUUGUAGUACCUUCUCUUUAAGUAACCUUGAACUUAUUAUUCAGGACUCAUAUUGAACAAAAAAUAUCCAGGAAUUGAAUCCUUUUUUUGUAUGAUUUUGAACAAAAAAUAUGAAUAUACAAAUUCAAUGUAAUGGGAUGGUCAUUUUGUAUGGAUGAAUUAGAUUUUAUUAUUUGUGUUUCA